rnacentral:rRNA from 1 species
CCAGACUCCUACGGGAGGCAGCAGUGGGGAAUCUUCCGCAAUGGGCGCAAGCCUGACGGAGCAACGCCGCGUGAGUGAAGAAGGUCUUCGGAUCGUAAAGCUCUGUUGACGGGGACGAACGUGCGGAGUGCGAAUAGCGCUUUGUAAUGACGGUACCUGUCGAGGAAGCCACGGCUAACUACGUGCCAGCAGCCGCGGUAAUACGUAGGUGGCGAGCGUUGUCCGGAAUCAUUGGGCGUAAAGGGAGCGCAGGCGGGCCGGUAAGUCUUACUUAAAAGUGCGGGGCUCAACCCCGUGAUGGGAGAGAAACUAUCGGUCUUGAGUACAGGAGAGGAAAGCGGAAUUCCCAGUGUAGCGGUGAAAUGCGUAGAUAUUGGGAAGAACACCAGUGGCGAAGGCGGCUUUCUGGACUGCAACUGACGCUGAGGCUCGAAAGCCAGGGGAGCGAACGGGAUUAGAUACCCCGGUAGUCCUGGCCGUAAACGAUGGAUACUAGGUGUGGGAGGUAUCGACCCCUACCGUGCCGGAGUUAACGCAAUAAGUAUCCCGCCUGGGGAGUACGGCCGCAAGGCUGAAACUCAAAGGAA